rnacentral:lncRNA from 1 species
GACAGAUGGGGGCAAAAGUUCUUCUGGUCUAGGUCUCUUAUUUGAACCAGCAUCCGUGGCUUCACUCUUCGCUAGGGAUUGAUUGCAAUCUUCUUGGCAGGGAAGGGCUCUGGCGCCAGAUGGUUUGAUGGAGCUCGUUGGUGAAACUCCUCUCACACAGCCCUUGUUACGCACCUCUGCAUCGGGGUACAAGCCACCUCCAAAGCUCAGCGGCGACGUUGUGCGUGGCUCCAGGGCUGGAAUGAUUGUCAUAACACCAGCUGGAACUUGCUGAGGCUGAAUGGUGCUCUACACUUGACAAGCAGUUCUGUAUGUACCCAAGAUGUGCUGUUAAGUCCAUCUAGCAGGUCGGCGUACCUCUGUCUACAUCAUUCUAAAAACCAAUCUAAGUCUUCGGUGCACGGAAAGCUGCCUCUGCUGUUCUUUCUAACCCUUUAGAAAACAGAAAGACAACCCGUGAGGAGUUAAUCCUUCAGAAAUCUCUGAAAGACAAGGAGUUCAUCCUAUGUGAGUACCUUGAAGGGCAACAGCAGCCCAUUUCGUAUAUGUAGGAGUUUGCUGGACCAGGCCUUAGACUGCAUAGCAAACCUUAAGGUGCUCUUAACUUCACCAGCCCUACCCGUACUGAUGGUAAGUGGGUAGCAAGUUAAUUGUGUUAACUUGAGGUGCCCAUUGCACCUGGGCAUCUGGGACCAGACUUCCAGGACCAUUAACAACAGACCUGUGUGCUCAGAGACCAGCUUGCUACAGCUAUUUCAUUAGCAGCAGGCAGGGCAAGCAAUCCCUUUUCUGUUGAAUUAACCAAAAUGCACCAUUAGAAUUUUUUGCAGGUUUCUUCCUUUUCUGCUGGGUCAGUUACAAAGAUACCUCAUCCUUCCUAGACCCUACUGAAGCGUUAACCCCAAAUCACUGUGAAGCAACGAGAUGAAGUGAGAGGAGAUGAGCACCGCUGGGUCACGCAGCCGGGGCAGGUUUGAUUACUGUUAGAAGACCAAAAGCCAGAUUCACAGUAAAUUAUUGAACCGGGGCCCUGUGCCUGCUGACUGUCACACCAGCCACAGGAGCAUGGCAUAA